AUGUCAAUUGCUUAUCAGUGUGAAAUAUCUAGCUGAGUUCUGAUUGAGAACGCCAUUUUAUUAACAUUAAUGUUAAUCCCUUCAUUGUGCACAGAAGCUUGAAAUUCCAGUCAUUUAGCCUUGCUUUAUGUUUCCAGGCAAAACUUUAGGUAUGUUGGGAGAGACGUCUACAGAUCAGACCAUCUAGAACAGGACACAACACCCUGCUUACAUUUGAAGGAGGGCUAGGACACACAAGAGACCUGUAGGCCCACUAUGCUGCAGCACGAACGACUGGGUCGACUUAGGAUUGAGUCCCCUCUCUGCCAGAAAUUAUCACUGUGUUCAAGGAAGACCCAGGCCCAAAUAAAGCUGCUAUAUCUAAGGUCAGCCCCUUUUCCUCAGCUUUUCAAGUUGGCAUUCAUCUAAUAUUAAAGACCAAGCCAAAGUCCCGCUCACCUCUGAAGAAGGGAAAGAUACACAGGCUUGUUGGUUCGCUCGGCAGUAGCAGUCCAUGAAAGGGCUGAAGCAGCUGACCUUUCUCCUUCGG